UCCUGAUACCGAUCUAUCAGCUGAUAUAGAAACAUAUCAAUUAUUAUCAAACCUUUAUGACAAAGAAAUUAAUUGAGGUUUAAAAUUUUACCCAUAAACUUUAUUAUUAAUAACGAUUAAAUAAAUAAACCAACAAAUACAAAGAGCCUGAAUUUAGAAAAUAAUUAUUUUUAUGUAAAUUCCAUGGACAUCUGUCCUUUUCUUCUGUAAAAUGAAAGUUAGGCUCUCUUCCUUUGAAACCACUUAGUUAAUCAAUGUGUUCAGAUAGUAUUAGUAGUAGUUGUAGUAUUUGUAUCACUGCAGAUGUACUGACUGUGUGUGUGUGUGUGUGUGUGUGUGUGUGUGUGUGUGUGUGUGUGUGUGUGUGUGUGUGUGUGUGUGUGUGUGUGUGUGUGUGUGUGUGUGUGUGUGUGUGUGUGUGUGUGUGUGUGUGUGUGUGUGUGUGUGUGUGUAGGAGCAGCCCCGCCCUCUGCCGGGGGCCCAGGACGCUCCAGGCCCGGACCGUCAUCCAGCAGUGCAGCCAGGCCAAGGUGAAGAUCCGACCUGCUCUGGACGGGGCCGAGGCUCAGUGGGCCGAGAUCCAGGAGGGAAUGGUUGUGUACGUCUGCUUCUCCCGUGAAGCCACGGAAAACAUCACGGAUGAAAUAGCCAACACUCUGAUGACCACCAAACUGUUCCGGAAGGACACCCGGCACUGGGCCUCGGUGCUCGAGCUUCCCGGGAGCGUUUUGUUGGUCCCCCAGGACUCCCUGCUGGGCGAGCCCGUGCCCAAGAGGAAGAUGCAGUUCAAGGGCGGGUGCGAGCCGUGGUGGGGCGCCCAGCUCUUCUCCAACCUGGUGUCCACCUGCAGGGAGCUGCUGCAGGGCUCAGUGAAGUGCACCAGGGCGGGGGUGAAGGUGGAGCAGGGAGUCUACGGCCAGAAACAAGAGAUGGUGCUGAGCUGUGCCGAGCCGCUGACGGUCCUGCUGGAGUUCUGAGGGACAGACGGACAGGAGGACAGGAGGACGUCCACUGAUCUGAAUCUGAAGGUCCGAGUCUCUCACCUGUUCUCACCACAGAUCAGAUCACAUCAUUAGUCACAGAUUGGAUCGUUUUUCAGAUCAUCAGUUCCAUAAAUAUAAAGAUAGAUAUAGAUAUAGAUGAAAACAAAUCCCCCCCAGAGAUCUAGAGUAGACAGAUCUACACGUCAGUUACAUGACAGGAGACUUUUUGUGCUUUUCUGCUUCUGAAGAACAAUUAAGAUGAUUAAAAAGAGACGAUUGAGACGUUUGAGACGUUCACACGUGAGAAAACAACGAAAAGUUGUUAGUAUUCUCUGAUUUGUAUUCGUCCACAUUAACACGGUUUUCAGACACUUCACCUUAAAUAAGUUUACACCUUAAACAAAGACUUUAGUGAGUUUAGUUCCCUCUGCUGCUGAUGACCUGUCAGUAGAUCAUCUGCUUCCUGUUUACAUCACAUGACCGCUACGUGAAUCAUCAGGUGACUCUUCAGCUCGACUCCAUGUUUUUGAAUCCGUUAAAUGGACUUCAUAUAUUUUUGUUAAUGAUUAUACUGUACAGUUGAGUCUAAAUCUUGAUAUUAAAUAACUAUUUUUUGUUAAAUAAAAUGUGUAUUUUA